rnacentral:misc_RNA from 1 species
AAUGUUGUAUUUUUGUUUUUUAAUUUUAAUUUUUGGAGAAAAAGAAAGCCAUUUUUUUAAUCAAUUUGUCUUGACCACAGAGCACAGAGUAGCGGGCGAGCCAAAGACAAGUUUAUUUUUAUUGUUUUUUUUUAAAGAAUUAUAACAUAAAGGUUUUAUCAGACAAAGGAUUAAUAAUUAUUACUAUCUAACAUAUAACAC